rnacentral:piRNA from 1 species
UGGCUGAGAAGUGCUAGGAAUAGUGGC